UACGGAGGGUGCGAGCGUUAUCCGGAUUCACUGGGUUUAAAGGGUGCGUAGGUGGGCUUGUAAGUCAGUGGUGAAAUCUCCGGGCUUAACCUGGAAACUGCCAUUGAUACUAUAGGUCUUGAAUUUUCUGGAGGUAAGCGGAAUAUGUCAUGUAGCGGUGAAAUGCUUAGAUAUGACAUAGAACACCAAUUGCGAAGGCAGCUUGCUACAGGAAUAUUGACACUGAGGCACGAAAGCGUGGGGAUCAAACAGG
rnacentral:rRNA from 1 species